GACGAACGCUGGCGGCGUGCUUAACACAUGCAAGUCGAACGGUAAGGCUCCAGCUUGCUGGGGUACACGAGUGGCGAACGGGUGAGUAACACGUGGGUGACCUGCCCUGCACUUCGGGAUAAGCCUGGGAAACUGGGUCUAAUACCGGAUAGGACCAUGGUGUGGAUACUGUGGUGGAAAGUUUUUUCGGUGUGGGAUGGGCCCGCGGCCUAUCAGCUUGUUGGUGGGGUAAUGGCCUACCAAGGCGGCGACGGGUAGCCGGCCUGGGGGGGUGGAAGGCACAAUGGGGAAUGGGACAGGGCCCGGACCCCUCGGGGGGGAAGGGGGGGGGAGUUUGGCAAAAGGGGCGGAGGCGUGAUGCAGCGCCCCCGCGUGGGGGAGGCCGGCCUUGGGGUUGUAACCUCCUUCCCCCAUCGACGAGGGGUUUUGGAGGGAAGAUGGGAAAGAAGCCCCGGCUAAUUCCUG
rnacentral:rRNA from 1 species